GGAAUUGACGGGGCCCGCACAAGCGGUGGAGCAUGUGGUUUAAUUCGAUGCAACGCGAAGAACCUUACCUGGGCUUGACAUCCCGGGAAUCCCCUGGAAACAGGGGAGUGCCCUUCGGGGAACCCGGUGACAGGUGCUGCAUGGCUGUCGUCAGCUCGUGUCGUGAGAUGUUGGGUUAAGUCCCGCAACGAGCGCAACCCUUUGUCUUUAAUUGCCAUCAUUUAGUUGGGCACUUUAAAGAGGCUGCCGGUGUUAAGCCGGAGGAAGGUGGGGAUGACGUCAAGUCCUCAUGGCCUUUAUGCCCAGGGCUACACACGUGCUACAAUGGGCGGUACAAAGAGAAGCAACCUCGCGAGGGUGAGCAAAUCUCAAAAAGCCGUUCUCAGUUCGGAUUGAAGUCUGCAACUCGACUUCAUGAAGUCGGAAUCGCUAGUAACCGCGAAUCAGCAGGUCCGCGGUCGAAUACGUUCCCGGGCCUU
rnacentral:rRNA from 1 species